GAUCCAGUGGUGAAGUGGUAUCAUGCCUGCACAAUAUUCCGCAAUUGAUAGUAAAGUUCUGCGGGAGCUCCCUGUUCAACUCAGGGCUGGAUCA